rnacentral:lncRNA from 1 species
AGCGGCUUUGAAUAAAGACUGAAGAACACGAACCCAUGCAAGAGGCACAAAACCAUCUGCUUAGUGGUCAUGUGGCAGCAGACAGUAUCUCAGAAGUCCUCGCAGCAUAUGACUUCACUGAUGAAGAUGGAUCACACUUGAGCAGGGAUUCUUGAUCUCUGCAAAACAGCUCAUACACAACAGGAACAAUCUCACAGAUAAGAAAAACUCCAGAAGUUGGUCUCGGGCUAUGAAAAUUUCUGCCACAAUAUGAUUUAUAUGAAAAUAAAUAAAGUGGGUCUACUACUUUA